UUUCCGUAGGUGAACCUGCGGAAGGAUCAUUACCACAUAUAUAUCCACAACCUUUUUGUGAACUAUAACUGUGUUCGCAGCGGUAGUUUAGUUCUCAUUUAGACAACAAGCUGUAAAAACCUUGAUGUUGAGACUAUUCUAUGAUUGGCGCUGCCUUUUAAAAACAAAACAACAAAACAACAAUUAUGAAAAUUUACAAAACCAAAACAAAAGAUAACUUCAAACAACGGAUAUCUUGGUUCUC
rnacentral:misc_RNA from 1 species